rnacentral:rRNA from 1 species
UACAGAGGUCCCAAGCGUUGUUCGGAUUCACUGGGCGUAAAGGGUGCGUAGGCGGUUGGGUAAGUCUGUCGUGAAAUCUCCGAGCCUAACUCGGAAACUGCGUCGGAUACUAUUCAACUCGAGGAAUGGAGGGGAGACUGGAAUUCUCGGUGUAGCAGUGAAAUGCGCAGAUAUCAGGAGGAACACCGGUGGCGAAGGCGCCACUCUGGGCCGGUACUGACGCUGAGGAGCGAAAGCGUGGGUAGCAAACAGG